rnacentral:rRNA from 1 species
CUUAGUGGCGGACGGGUGAGUAACGCGUGGGCAACCUGCCCCGUGCCGGGGGAUACCGCCUGGAAACAGGCGCUAAUACCGCAUAAGCGCACAGUGUCGCAUGAUACAGUGUGAAAAACUCCGGUGGUACAGGAUGGACCCGCGUCUGAUUAGCUGGUUGGCGGGGUAACGGCCCACCAAGGCGACGAUCAGUAGCCGGCCUGAGAGGGUGAACGGCCACAUUGGGACUGAGACACGGCCCAAACUCCUACGGGAGGCAGCAG